GAAAUCUCGAUACAGGAGGAAGAGGGGAAACGCAGCGAAAGGUUGAAAGGAUAUCUAAGCAAAUCCAGCAGAAGAGGAAAAGGCUGAAAGGGGAGAUCGUACGCUAGGGAUGUGUGCGCGUGCCUCAGGAAAAUCACUGGGUCUCGAUAACCAGGAAGCGGGAAUAUAGACCUGCACCCCGAGACUCCACCGGGUGCUGAGAAUGGGAGGCGAGGAAGAGUAAAGUGUUCCCAGCAUCGCGCACCACCACCGCCACGCUAUCUGUGUCUAUCGUAUUGGCACUCACCACAUGGCUGCCAACUCAUCAAUCACUCGGUGGAAGGAGACUGGUCAAGGAACGUCAGAGGAUUGGUGGUAAUCGUGGGAGAAAAGGGGCGGGGCGAGGUGGAGGCACAGGAAUGUAGGCAGAAGACGGAGGGCAGGAAUGGGCGGCGGAGUGAUCGUGGUGGUGUCCAUUGUGGCGGCGCCUAGACGGUCGUCCUGCAUCACCAACACACUCUCAGGUGGCAUCGGUGUGCCGCUGCUGCAGGGCCGACAGGUCUUCCCGCGCCUCACGCAGCUGCCGGGCGACGCGCUUGUUCUGCUCCACCGCCUGAGACUCCUUGAGGCGUGCUGAGUCACAGUCGCCAGUCACUCGCUCCAGCUGGUCCUUUAGUCUACUGAUCUGACUCUGCAAGGCUCCAGUUUUGACUCCACCUCCUUGAUCUUCAUCUCAAGGCGCCGCUGAGUGUGGAUGUUGGCUGUCUCGCCCUCCAGCACCUCCACCUUGCUUGACAGCUCCAGGAGGCGCUCGUGGAGCACCUGACGAAGGAGGGGAACAAGGCUCGGCAAUCUGCUGGUUCUGCUCCGAGAGGGUGAUCUGGUCCACUGACAACUGAGACACCACUGACUUGUACUUCUUCAUGACCUCAGCGACCUCCUCCUCACUCUCCUCCAGCUGGAAGCCCUGUCCUUGCUGACCCGGGCACACCUGUCCUCGGCCUCCUUCCUGGAACGCUGCGCCUCCUCCAACUGGCUGGUCAUAUCAGACAGGUCAGCCUCAGCACACUGCCGGGCCUUGAUGGCAGCGGUCUUGGCAAACUCUGCAUCUUCAAGCUGUAAGGAAAUGAAGAAGGUCAACCUCCUCAACCAGGGAAAGGAGACGAUGCUGCCAAAGCCACGCGUUCGACUGUCAACACAUAUGCGACAAAAAAUCUGUGCCACACUCCUUUCAUGCCUGGGAUCUGUCAGCAACCCACUUAGAAACUCUUGUCGCAUUCAAUAAGUACACCUACGGACACUG